AGGGAGAGCUGAGUCUGCCUAGGGCUCUAGUACGCCGUUUAGGGCGGCCAGAAACUAAAGAGUCCCCUGCAGGCAUAGCAGGAGGGGGCUCCUGCAAGCCAGCAAUGAGGGAUGUUAGGAAAGCUGGGUUUUCCUGGACUCUAGCAGCUAGGGCUGCCAGGAGGGCUCUGUCGUCGGCCAUACCUUGUUAGGAAGCUUCCUUCCAGAGGUGCCGGAGACUAAGAGGCAGGACACAGGGAUGACCCUCCUUUUUAUUAACUCUAAGGGUGGUAUCUUCACCCAUUACCCCGCCCCCCCAAGGGAGGGGGGGAGCGAACACCAACAACCAGCUAUGUAGCUUUAGCAGAAAGACAGUGGGAUUUUAACUCACAAACUGCCAGCAGUGUCUGCAGUCCGGCGCGCCUGCGUUAUACACUGUGGCGCUAGUAGACUGCAGACAACUGACACACCUCACACAAACUCCUGUC